rnacentral:pre_miRNA from 1 species
AACAAACCAGUUUUUCACUUUUUAUCUAUAAUAUUUGAUUUUUCAUCUUAUUUAAAAAAAUUUUACGAUUAACAUUUUAUUUUUAUUAGAUGAGAAACCAUGAAUAGUACUUAACGUGUGACUAUUUUUUUUAAUUUUCUAAAAGAAUUUCAAAUAAGACGGAUGAUCAAAUUCUAGACAUAGGAACCGAAGAGUUGGUUUAUU